CCCCCCGACUAUACCUGCCGUGAGAGGGGAACCUUGAAGAUCGAUGCACACACACACUGGACUAGCUGGUUAGCCAGCUCCCCAGUAGCUGGUUAGCCAAUUUCCACAAGCUAGUUCAACGUCUUGUCCCGUGAGAGGGGAACUUGGAAAUCGGGGCAAGCCAUACUUGAGGGUUAGUCAGCCAGGUGAAAUAAUCCCAGUUGUGGGCCCAUUAGGGCUGACAGUAUGGGAAGGAAGUUGAGAAGCCCCCCCUCUUCCCAGCUACGUCUUGUGCUGCGAAAGGGUAACCUUGCAGACUGGUGCAAGCCUCACUGAAUGAGGCCCACCUGUUGAGACCCGUUCCUGAGGGGCAUGAGGCAUGUGUGCUGAGCCGGGAGGGGUGAAACCCGGCAAUUGGCACAGCACAAACUGAAGGGAGACACUUGCUGUGAGUGUUUUUGGUGCCUCAGACUUAAGGUGGUGCUGCCUUGUCUGAUGUACGGUCAAGCACCCUACUGCUCCCUUUGGGCAGCAGAAUUUGUCCUGACCUCUUACCCACCCAAGUCUGUGCUUUGUUCCUCUGUCCUGUGUUUCUGAUCCACCUCGCUGUCUCCCCGCUGCGCUGCUCUUCUCUCAAGUGGGUUAAAUCUCAGCAUGAUUACCUGCCAUGUUUCUGCUCAAGGGUAAUGCCCAACAUGACAGAGAUAGCUGGUGCAUGGCAGUCGUCACGAGACCAUCCGGACCCUCUGGUGGUCGCUGUAGUCAUUUUGCGUUGCAUGGGGCACACUGAGUCACUUAACCGAAAGACUCUAAAUAACGCAAAAGAGGUACCCUUUGGGGUUUGGUAUAUAGCCAAAUACCUCAUCAUCUAAUUAGUGACACACAUGAAUUGAUGAAUGAGAUCCCCACUGUCCCUACCUACUAUCUAGCAAAACCACAGCCAAGGGAACAGGCUUGGCAGAAUCAGCAGGGAAAGAAGACCCUGUUGAGCCUGACUCUAGUCUGGCACUGUGAAGAGACAUGAGAGGUAUAGAAUAAGUGGGAGGCCCCCAGGUCGCUGGUGAAAUACCAUUACUCUUAUCAUUUUUUCACUUACCUGGUGAGGCGGGGGGGCAAGCCCUGAGGGGCUCUCGCUUCUGACUCCAAACGCCCGGCAUGUGCUGGGCGCGACCCACUCCGGGGACAGUGGCAGGUGGGGAGUUUGACUGGGGUGGUACACCUGUCAAACCGUAAUGCAGUUGUCCUAAGGCGAGCUCAGGGAGGACACAGAAACCUCCCGUGGAGCAGAAAGGCAAAAGCUCGCUUGAUCUUGAUUUUCAGUAUGAAUACAGACCGUGAAAGCAGGUCUUCACAAUCCUUCUGACUUUUUGGGUUUUAAGCAGGAGGUGUCAGAAAAGUUACCACAGGGAUUUGCAACCUUUCAGGCACAGGUACCCUUCUUCA
rnacentral:rRNA from 1 species